UUUUUUCUUUUCCACAGUUAUAUUUAUACUUAAGGAAAGAUAAUUCUUGCUCAUGAAGCGAUACGUUUCCAGCAACAUGUGGAAAUAAUAUUGUUUGGGAUAAAGCUAUGAUUUUUCCAAAGAGUCCAAGUGAAUUAGGACCCUGUUGUCUCUCUUUGCUGCUAGGCUGGCUGCUCUCUAUUUUAUUCAGAGCUUUGGCUUCUGAGCCUUGUUCUGAACAAGAGCUAACAAUUACUGAGUUAAAUUCCAUCAAUACGCCCGGAAGCUACCCUGCAAUAUCAAAUCCUGUACAUUCUUAUAAAUGUAAUUGCUGGCGCUAUUAAAGCAGCCUACGUUGAAGAUGUGAUAGGUUAUCAAAGCAAGUUCUGUUGCAAUACAGAGGCUAAACACAGCCUAGUACAGAUGGAGAAAAAUGUUUGAUUUUGUAAAGGGCACAGGCUUGCCAGGGGCAUUUGGGACAUUCUAAGGUCUCGUCUACGUGGUGAAACUGUCUGGCAGGACGUCUGUGGGACAGGUAUCUCAGCACCCUCAGACCUUUGCCAAGCCCCCAGCACGUUUCACGUCGGGGUGUGAGCGCUGCUCGCCGUCACGGUGCAGGCAGCCCUGGGGCUGGAAAGCAGCCUGAAUGGAAACUGGCUGCUCAAUGGAGAGAAAAUAACACUGCUUAUGGUGAGCAUCCAACGCGCCUAACGGUUGGCAGAGUCAAACUGGAUGCAAAGGCGGGCUGCAGGUCUAGGAUGAUCAUGGGAUUCCUCUUUGGUCUCGAGGCCCUUCUCUAAGCUGGAGCAGAAUGAAGCCAGGCAAGCUGGUCCCAUCCCGUAGGCGGUGAAGUUGAACCUGCCUUCACCAGCUUCGUCCUCCUGAAACAGAUUCAGCAUGGGACUCUACUUAAAAUGAGAUAUAGACAGUGCACCCUCGCUAUAAGGCUCUCCACUGACGGCUUCCUGCUCUGCAAGGGAAAGACACCUCCGUCAUGCCCCGACCCCAGCGCCCUUGGGCAAACCCCCUGCUCUUGGGAGAUCAGCCUUAUAGAGGGGUGCCAGCUGCGUGACGCACAGAGGCAAAUCAGGGGAUCCAGGCACCCCAUGGAGAACAGGACGGACUUCCACCCCACCGGCUUCUUUGACAUACUUGAACGGUUUGUGCUUGCCCAGAAGGAGUGGGCUCCAUGUAACUCAGGUAGUCGAAGCCAAGGCUUCCUACAGAGUUACAUGGACGCGCAGGCGCCGAGACCCGUCCAGGAAAAGACCUCUGCAGGCAGCGUGCAACCAGCCCUUGGAGCCCCACAGCCCCUCCCCACAA